GCCCAGGUGGUGGAAUUGGUAGACACGCUAUCUUGAGGGGGUAGUGUCCCUAGGACGUGCCGGUUCGAGUCCGGCUCUGGGCACCA
rnacentral:tRNA from 1 species